GAGGGUAUAGCUCAAGUGGUAAAGCACGUGCUUAGCAUGCAUGAGGUCCUGGGUUCCAUCCCCAGUCGCUCCU
rnacentral:tRNA from 1 species